UACAGAGGGUGCGAGCGUUGUCCGGAAUCACUGGGCGUAAAGGGCGCGUAGGCGGUGACUUAAGCGUGUGGUGAAAGCUCGGGGCUCAACCCCGAGUCGGCCGUGCGAACUGGGUCACUGGAGCAUGUCAGAGGCAGGCGGAAUUCCGGGUGUAGCGGUGGAAUGCGUAGAGAUCCGGAAGAACACCGGUGGCGAAGGCGGCUCUCUGGGACGGUACUGACGCUGAGACGCGAAAGCGUGGGGAGCGAACAGG
rnacentral:rRNA from 1 species